UGGGUGGGGGUUGGGGGAGGGCAUCUCUCCUUUGCAUAUGACGACACAUGUCAGUUGCGUAGUGGGGACAGCUCUCUCUCUUGCUUGCAACAUCAGAGCUGGGUCACCUCACCUCUGACAACAGGGCCAGCUCUGCUGUGCUACCUAGGUGAGGAGCAGGGCCCACUUUCUUGAGAGCUGCAGCUGCAUGUAUGAAAUUGUAACAGACGCUGCAGGAAUCACAGGCACUGGCAAGUGUGCAGCUCUUUCCAGUCACCGUGGGUCAUGCCUCCUGCUCUCUGAAAGCAUCACUUAACAAUGUGGAGUCACGUGUCUUACCAGAGGAGGAACACAAGGCUUGGAACUGAGCCCCGACGAACAAAUUCCAUCCUUGUCACAUAAUGGAAGAGGAAACAGACCUAAUAAAGACCAUGUGAGGACCCAGGGAGGAGAGGGCCAUCAGCACUCCAAGGAGAGGAAGACCAUGUGAGGACCCACAAAGGAGAGGUCCAUCAGCACUCCAAGGAGAGAGGCCUCUGGGGAAAUAAGACCUGCCAACCCCUUGACCCUGAACUUGCUGGUUGAAGGGCCUCCAGAACUUUGAGGAAAUAAAUACCUGUUUUUAAAGCCAUCCAGACAUUCAUACUUCCUUAUGACACUAAUACAGUAGCACAGGCCAUAAACAAACAAACAAACAAAUCCUAGAGGAGAAGAUUGAAUGAGGACUGUUGAGGCAAAUGUAAUGUAAGUGUGGAAGGGAACAGAGUCUUCAAAGGCCUUCCUCAGGGAAGUGUCUACCAGACAUUCGAGGGCCAGUACCUGUUAACAUACUGUGCUGACAAAGACACAGUGGAAUGGGUAAGACAUUAAAGGAGGCACAGACAGAAAAGCCAGGGACACACUGGUCUUGCCCAAGAUGCUGACAAAUUGAGGCCUCAGGAGUCCCUACAGGGACAGAACAUUGGAUAAGCCAGCUAAGUCACAGGCCACAAACCCAGCCUGCAGGGACCUUGGCCUCAGGCUUUCUGGAAUCCUGAUGUGGGUCUCCUGGACAGUUUAGAAGCUCCCAGCAUUCUAUAUUAACUCUCAGCUUUACAGCCAUACACAUGGCUGAAUAUCUGCCUCAUCUGAUGGGAGACUUACAAGCACGUGCUCUAAGAUGUAUGUACCCGUCAGAACUUAAUGUCUACACUGUCAGGAUAGCCUUCCUCCUGUGCUAGGGCAGCCCAGCGAUCCAAACUAUGGUGACAGCAAGCCUUCUGA